GGGGCGGGGAGGGCUCAGUCCACGCCCACCGCACGCGAGGCGCGCGUUGGGCAAAGUGAACGCCACUGCCGGUCCCUGGGAGCCCGCGGGCAGGGUGCAGUAGAGUUCUGAGUUGCUGAAGUGUUGCAUUAUUCCUAAUGUUUCAACGAAGUGGUAAUCAAGUGCACUACUUUGCCUUUUCUUUCGUCCUCCACUUGUUUUGUGGGGACGGGGCGGGAAGCUUGCGGCUAGCAUCCGCUCUUCCUUUCUGGCUGAGGGAACCCAGUUAGUUUUUCACACGUGCGCAGAGCAAUGUACCUUUUGGGGGAACACGUGGGGUUAGGCUACUGAAGGUAAUGACUCGUGGCUUUUGCACGCAGUAGGUACUACGUGUAUCGUCGUCUGUGGAGUUGCUUCAUGAGUAUGCUGGAACCUUUCCUCUCUCUUUCAGGGAAGAUUAGCUCCAUCCCGUAAUGAAGAAAUAUAAAGUUAAGCUACUGGAGGGGCUAGUGCUGUGGCAUAGCAGGUUAAGCCGCUGCCUGCAGUGCCAGCAUCCCUAUCGGUGCCAGUUUGAGUCCUGGCUGCUCCACCUCCGAUCCAGCUCUCUGCUAUGGCCUGGGAAAGCAGAAGAUGGCCCAAACCCUUGGGCCCCUGCACCCACGUGGGAGACCCAGAAGAAGCUCCUGGCUCCUGGCUUCGGAUCAGUCAGCUCUGACCGUUGCAGCCAACUGGGGAGUGAACCAGUGGAUGAAAGACCUCUCUCUCUCUCUCUCCCUCUCUUUCUGUGUAACUCUGACUUUCAAAUAAAUUAAUAAAUCUUUAAAAAAAAAGCUGAAAAAUAAACAGCUACUGGAGUGUCUGGC